GUGGGGAAUCUUCCGCAAUGGACGAAAGUCUGACGGAGCAACGCCGCGUGAGUGAAGAAGGUUUUCGGAUCGUAAAGCUCUUUCGUUAGGGACGAACGUGCUCUUUGUGAAUAAUGAGGAGUAAUGACGGUACCUAAAUAAGAAGCCACGGCUAACUACGUGCCAGCAGCCGCGGUAAUACGUAGGUGGCAAGCGUUGUCCGGAAUUAUUGGGCGUAAAGCGCGCGCAGGCGGGAUAUCAAGUCUGUCUUAAAAGUGCGAGGCUCAACCUCGUGAGGGGACAGAAACUGGUAUUCUUGAGUGUCGGAGAGGAAAGUGGAAUUCCAAGUGUAGCGGUGAAAUGCGUAGAGAUUUGGAAGAACACCAGUGGCGAAGGCGACUUUCUGGACGAUGUCUGACGCUGAGGCGCGAAAGCUAGGGGAGCGAACGGGAUUAGAAACCCCAGUAGUCC
rnacentral:rRNA from 1 species